GGUAUGGGAUGAGCUUGCGUCCGAUUAGCUAGUUGGCGGGGCAACGGCCUACCAAGGCGACGAUCGGUAGCCGGCCUGAGAGGGUGAUCGGCCACAUUGGGACUGAGAUACGGCCCAGACUCCUACGGGAGGCAGCAGUAGGGAAUAUUGCACAAUGGGGGAAACCCUGAUGCAGCAACGCCACGUGUGGGAAGAAGCAUUUCGGUGUGUAAACCACUGUCGUGAGGGAAUAAUACGCGGUUUCGGCCGCGGGGGAAUGUACCUCGAAAGGAAGCACCGGCAAACUUCGUGCCAGCAGCCGCGGUAAUACGAGGGGUGCAAGCGUUGUUCGGAAUCACUGGGCGUAAAGGGAGCGUAGGCGGAUGUUCAAGCGGAUUGUACAAUACCGGGGCCCAACCCCGGACCUGCAGUCCGAACUGGACAUCUUGGAUAGUUCAGGGGCAGGC
rnacentral:rRNA from 1 species